AACGAACGCUGGCGGCAUGCCUAACACAUGCAAGUCGAACGAGACCUUCGGGUCUAGUGGCGCACGGGUGCGUAACGCGUGGGAACCUGCCCUUAGGUUCGGAAUAACUCCCCGAAAGGGGUGCUAAUACCGGAUAAUGUCUUCGGACCAAAGAUUUAUCGCCUUUGGAUGGGCCCGCGUUGGAUUAGCUAGUUGGUAGGGUAAAAGCCUACCAAGGCGACGAUCCAUUGCUGGUCUGAGAGGAUGAUCAGCCACACUGGGACUGAGACACGGCCCAGACUCCUACGGGAGGCAGCAGUGGGGAAUAUUGAACAAUGGGCGAAAGCCUGAUCCAGCAAUGCCGCGUGAGUGAUGAAGGCCUUAGGGUUGUAAAGCUCUUUUACCCGGGAUGAUAAUGACAGUACCGGGAGAAUAAGCUCCGGCUAACUCCGUG
rnacentral:rRNA from 1 species